rnacentral:rRNA from 1 species
UAGGGAAUCUUCGGCAAUGGACGAAAGUCUGACCGAGCAACGCCGCGUGAGUGAAGAAGGUUUUCGGAUCGUAAAACUCUGUUGUUAGAGAAGAACAAGGACGUUAGUAACUGAACGUCCCCUGACGGUAUCUAACCAGAAAGCCACGGCUAACUACGUGCCAGCAGCCGCGGUAAUACGUAGGUGGCAAGCGUUGUCCGGCUUUAUUGGGCGUAAAGCGAGCGCAGGCGGUUUCUUAAGUCUGAUGUGAAAGCCCCCGGCUCAACCGGGGAGGGUCAUUGGAAACUGGGAGACUAGAGUGGAGAAGAGGAGAGUGGAAUUCCAUGUGUAGCGGUGAAAUGCGUAGAUAUAUGGAGGAACACCAGUGGCGAAGGCGGCUCUCUGGUCUGUAACUGACGCUGAGGCUCGAAAGCGUGGGGAGCAAACAGG